GCGUAAAACUGUCCUUAUUGUCAUCCUAUCCAGCCUGUAAUCUCAUGCAGUUCGUAUUUUCGUGUAUCACACAGGCCACAAGUUCAAUAACAUGCAAUGAUUACGCCAAAGUAACAAUAAAUGGAAAAGCUGCAUUCAUUCCGACUGAUAAAUUAUUGUUUCGAAGCUAUUUUCUGCAAUUUCGCAGUAAUGUGUUCAUUAUUAAAAGAUAAAAUGAAGGUCAACGUUCCAUGUUUUGAAUUUCGCACCGCAACCUUAUAGCCACUACGUCAGUGUGACGUCACGGGUUUCCAAGUACUCCCUCGUACUUCGACCGCUGUGGCUCAGUAAAAGCCUUGAAAGCUGCCAAAUUAAAUCCUUGGCUCUUUUAGAAAACCAUGUGGUGCAUUUUUACGGAUAAAAAGUUAAUCAGUAGCGAGCAGACACCGGAAAUAUGUACGGCGUCUUGGAUGGCCUCCGAGACGAUCACCUCGGGGGCCAGGAUCUCGGGGACCAUGGUUCUGGAGAGCCCUGGUGCGCCACCUGUAUUCCGUUUUGUCAUAUUUUUUCGCUUCCCAAUCACCAUCUCACGGCAAAAAUGGCUUUUGUCUUUGGUAAUGUAGAAAGGUAAUUUACCAAUACAGCUAACAUUGUUUUUCACUCUAUUGUGCAUUUUAUGGACAACGCGUUUCACAAGCUACGCGGGUGCGAAUCAAUACCGCGGGACGUCGAAUCAGUGAUCUCACGAAGACGAAGGCGAUGCUUGAUGUUUCUCGAGAGAAGAAUGAUGAGGGAAAGUGUACGAAGAGAGAAGUACCACGGCAAACACAGUGGUAAGAUUGACGAUUAUUCGCCCAUUUCACUACAGCGCCUGUGACCAAAUGAAAACUGGCUUUUGUGUGCAAGUGCUCUCGCGUGCAGGUGCUAGGCAAUGCGAAGCACGCGCCAAUCGCCUGGAAGAGCUACUUGGCGUUGGCACGAGAAAAGUAUGCCUGCGGCCUAUUUGUUGGAGCAUUAGCCUGUUGUGCUAGGAGACUGAGGUUUUUGAUACCGCCAUUGGACAUGUGAUUUUUAUUUUCUCUGUGUGGCUACAGUCGGCAAAGUCUCGGAGGACUCACUGAAACCGUAGCUUUGUAAAUUCAUCCUGGUCUGUGAAUGAAACGCAGGACCAACGCCUUUUCAGAGCGGUCACUUCACAUUCAUUAAAGGGGCUCCGGAACAAUA
rnacentral:lncRNA from 1 species